rnacentral:lncRNA from 1 species
GCCGGAUUAUCAGGAGCCGCGGCGGCGGCUGGAACAGUCAAGAGGCGCGGCUUCGCCGGUCCUUCAGAUAGAAGAGCAGACUUAGAACGAUGACCUCUCGCCGGGCCUCCAGUAACAGAGGCGGCGGCGGCGGUUUUAAUGGUGGAAACUAGGGCUCGGGUUGAAGAAUUGAGGAAUUGAAUUAAGAAGUGGAGGAGAGAAGGAGAGGGUAAGACGAAAGCAAAAGGAAGGCGACGCCGGGGAUGAGGACGCCGACUCGCCGGCGGCGCGGACUUCAGAGGCGGCGCUAAUUGUAUUGAGAGAGAAGGCUAUUUCAGCCGUGACAUUGAGAGAGAGAGAGAGA